rnacentral:lncRNA from 1 species
GAUGAUGAAAACUCUACUGUGAACAUCUACCUUGCUAGAUUCUCCACUUACCAAAUAACCAAAUACUCCUGAGGAUCCAGAAUAGAACUUAAGAAGCUGAAGGCCAAGUAGUUCUACAUAGCCAUGAAGAAGGCCAGAGACCUUCUUGAGAUGUUAUCUACAGAGCUGGUCUGGAUGGGAUGCCAGUCUAAACCUACACAUUGAAAGGAUCUCAUAAGCAAGUAUAAAGCUGGAAGCAAAGUUCAAAAGUAGUUUUAAGUAAGUUAUUUUCAUCUCCAGCUAUAUUUUUCAGGAUGUUAACAGCUCAAUUGUCAACGUUUGGAGCGUGUCAGGCCUUAUGAGAUUGGACCAGCUUCUAUAAGAAUAGGUUGUUACCAGUGAUCCUGGAACCUCCUGAAAAUCCUUCUUCUGGACAUACUCCAACCAUUGUGAUGCCAUCUACCAUGACGCACUCAUCAGAGCCAAACAAAAGCUGGUGCUGUGCUCUUGAAUCUCCAGAACUAGGCACUUCCUUCCAGCUGGAUCAUUUAAUGGCAUAAUGUGAAGGCAAGAUCCACAGAAGUGGGUUUGGAGGAGGGACUUGAAGGAGAAAAUGCAGAUCAUCAUGGGAAGACUAUGGGAAAUUGCACCCAGAUGGGAGGUCUUCAGUCACAAGGAAGAAGCCCAUUUUUUAAAAAUGAGAACCCAUUAUAUUCUAUACCUUUCUUAUUCAUAUAGGAUGUUCCUUUUGACCAGACAUCACCAAAUUUGAGUGAUUUUCUACUGGUUUAUUCUCCUCUCUACCCCUGAACAGCUGUAGGCAGUGAUAGCAUCAAAGGCUACAACUAUAGUUAUAGGUUUUCCUGGACACUGGUGAGCAGAGCUGAUCCAAGAUGAGAACAAGUCAAAGAAUAAUUAUUAGGCACUUGUCCAAGUCACUCUAGAGAUAUAUGUUAAUGAGUAUUAGAUGCAUAUGUAUAAAAUGAUAAUAUAAAACAGAUUCCUUCAUGACCUAAGAGAGAUACAAAUAAAGGGGACAAUAGAUGUGAAUUCUGAUUGUGAGGUUGGAGGACAGAAGUGCAAAUUAGAGAAGAUAGAAGGUUCAAAGGACAAUAAGGAUAUGUGGAAAAAAGAUUUUUUUGCCUCAUUACUUAGAUAAAUCCAGGAGCAGCACUGGCUUUACAUGUUUGCCAGGCAUCCAUAAACUCAGAUGCUGUAGGGACCAGGAAGGUAUCAUAAAUAAGUGAAUCAAGCAAUUGAGGGAUAUGUCCAAUGGAAAGACAUUCAGUUCAUAUUACACACCCAAAGUCAAAGAAUUCAAGUCAUUGUCUGCAGGCCUUCUCCAUUUUUCUAAAGGCCCCUCCCUGCCUCAAAAUUCAGACACAGCUAUCUCCUGCAAACUAGGGAGAAGGUCAACACUGCACCCCUCCCUACUUUAAGGACACAAUCAAGCCUGCAUAAUCUAGAAGAAUGGUAGAGUAGCUCUCAAACAUAAUACACAUUUCAACUAGAGAAGAUGGGAUUCUUUAAAGAGCUGUUGCGUUAAGUGCUGUGUUGCAUGCCUGUAAUCCCAGUUACUCAGGAAGCUGAG